rnacentral:rRNA from 1 species
AUUGCCCUAGUAACGGCGAGUGAAGCGGCAACAGCUCAAAUUUGAAAUCUGGCCUUCGGGUCCGAGUUGUAAUUUGUAGAGGAUGCUUUUGGUGCGGUACCUUCCGAGUUCCUUGGAACAGGACGCCUUAGAGGGUGAGAGCCCCGUACGGUUGGAUACCAAGCCUCUGUAAAGCUCCUUCGACGAGUCGAGUAGUUUGGGAAUGCUGCUCUAAAUGGGAGGUAAAUUUCUUCUAAAGCUAAAUACCGGCCAGAGACCGAUAGCGCACAAGUAGAGUGAUCGAAAGAUGAAAAGUACUUUGAAAAGAGGGUUAAAUAGCACGUGAAAUUGUUGAAAGGGAAGCGUUUAUGACCAGACCUUUGUCAGGCGGAUCAUCCGGUGUUCUUCACCGGUGCACUUCGCCUGGCUCAGGCCAGCAUCGAUUUCUGUAGAGGGAUAAAGGCCAUGGGAACGUAGCUCUCUUCGGGGAGUGUUAUAGCCCUAGGUGUAAUACCUUUACGGGGAUCGAGGUUCGCGCUUCUGCAAGGAUGCUGGCGUAAUGGUCAUCAAUGACCCGUCUUGAAACACGGACCAAGGAGUCGAACAUUUAUGCAAGUGUUUGGGUGUUAAACCCUCACGCGUAAUUAAAGUGAACGGAGGUGAGAGCCUUGUAUUAGGUGCAUCAUCGACCGAUCCUGAUGUAUUCGGAAGGAUUUGAGUAAGAGCAUAACUGUUCGGACCCGAAAGAUGGUGAACUAUGCGUGGAUAGGGUGAAGCCAGAGGAAACUCUGGUGGAGGCUCGCAGCGGUUCUGACGUGCAAAUCGAUCGUCAAAUCUGCGCAUGGGGGCGAAAGUAAGUUUAAUUCUUCCCUGCUUUUUUAUGUUUUUAUUUUUUUGUAUUUCGCAGUCGUGCUAACUGGUACCCAACAGGACUUAUCGAACCAUCUAGUAGCUGGUUACCGCCGAAGU